UUUUCAGUCCUUUGAAAGAGCCUAUCCUGGUUAGCUUCCUCCUCCUUUCUGUUUUGAUGAGUGAGUUCCAGGGCUGCCUUGUGCAUGUAUCCCCUUCUUUCCUCCCUCACACUUGGGUACAAGUGUCAUCCAUCUGUAGAUUCAAUUCUAGUUUUCAGAUCCCUUUCUUCUUUAUAGCUACAGCUUCCUUUAAUUCUUACUUAUACUAUGUGUGUGUGUUUGUGUGUGUGCAUGCAUUUUGAGACGGUCUCACUAUGUAGCUGUAGCUAGCCUGGAGCUUGCUAUGUAGAUCAGCCUUUGUCUCUGAAUGCAGGGAUUAAAAGAAGGGUGCCACCACUAUAUUGUGAUUUCACCCUGUCCCUUCUUGAGUUCUCAGUUUGUACAUACCUUGAACUCUGUGGAGAGUGUUGCUAUAAGCAAAAUGAAAGUGUGUUUUUAUAUUAUAUAGACGAAGAGGUCAUGUUACUGUAAAUUACUGCUUAGUAUUCCAAUUUAUGCAUUUCUGAGUCAAAGUUCAUUCUUUCAAAAACUACCUUAUUAAAUAUUGAUUUUUCCCUUGGUUCAUCUGCAGAAACCCUAAAGAUAGAGGAGGCAUUUUCACUAGCCUUUGUUCUUCACAAAUAAGUCAUUAGAAAUCAAACCAAAUCCAACCAUGAUGCGAGUUCAUGGUCUUUCUAGGUUAGAAUCUGGGAUCUUAUAUAUUCUAAGCAUCUGCUCUGUUUAAGUAUUAAUUGUGGUUAUCCUAGAUUAAGUCCUAUUUGAAGUAUAGAAUUUGCUCACUACUCAUCUUGUUAAAAAAGGGAAUAAGACUUGUCAUGUAUCUUUUGCUACUUAUAUAACAAGAGCAAAUUUAACGAUAGAGCUAAGCUUACCCACAAUUAAAAAAAUACUGACUUUGGUUCUUAGGAAUUAAAGGUGUUAGUAUACUGUCAGAUAGAAGGUGGCUUUCAGAAAAGUCAGCUGAGAGCAAGCAGUCUUAAACCUUGCUAAACUUGAAUGUCACCUGUAGACUCUGACCAACACAGUUAAUGGAACUCUUGAAAUGUCUGUAUUGCAUCUUCUGAACUCUGACUUUGUGCCAAUGUGGGGAUAUACUGUAGUCCUCAAAUCUUAAGACAGUUUCAGGGCUCAUCAACUAAAGGCUCUUGGCAUGAAAAUUAAGUUUUAACCAUGCAUGAAAAAAUAUCUUUUUGAAACUGAAAGUCUUAAAAAGAAAAGAAAACAAAAGCUAUAAAAGCCCUCCCAAAUUCUUGACACAGAUGAUAGAUACUGUGGUACUUUCUGAAUUUGUGGAAGCCUCACAAUCAAAGUGAAAAUGAUUUACAAAGUCCUCUUUGAUUUUUCUGGGUCAUUUAAUUUGAGUUGAUUUCUUCAGAAUGUACUGAAUUUCUUAAGAGUGCGGCACUGAUGAUACAUCCUGGGUGGCUGCUCAGAGUGGAGCUGUGCCACUGCUCUGGAGACUGAACCCAAGGCAUGUGAUUCAGAACUGUGUAGCUGAUACUAGUGGCUUAGGCUUUAUGAUGUUUGUUCACUGGAAAUGGAAGAGAAUGCAAAAACAGCUAAAGAAGGAAAAAUGAAGCAUUUGAAGAGAGCCGUUGAUACAUUUUGGGCCUGCACAUGCACAGAUGAACCUCACUACAUAAGGUGGUGCUCUUGGGGACUUCUACAUGGAAAAGUUUGAAGUUGUACUCCUCUCACAAUGAUUCUCGUGCAUUAUUAUAGAGUUAAAAAUG